AGUGAACGCUGGCGGUAGGCCUAACACAUGCAAGUCGAACGGCAGCACAGCAAGAGCUUGCUCUUACGGGUGGCGAGUGGCGGACGGGUGAGGAAUACAUCGGAAUCUACUUUUUCGUGGGGGAUAACGUAGGGAAACUUACGCUAAUACCGCAUACGACCUACGGGGGAAAGCAGGGGAUCUUCGGACCUUGCGCGAUUGAAUGAGCCGAUGUCGGAUUAGAUAGUUGGCGGGGUAAAGGCCCACCAAGGCGACGAUCCGUAGCUGGUCUGAGAGGAUGAUCAGCCACACUGGAACUGAGCCACGGUCCAGACUCCUACGGGAGGCAGCAGUGGGGAAUAUUGGACAAUGGGCGCAAGCCUGAUCCAGCCAUACCGCGUGGGUGAAGAAGGCCUUCGGGUUGUAAAGCCCUUUUGUUGGGAAAGAAAAGCAGCAGGUUAAUACCCCGCUGUUCUGACGGUACCCAAAGAAUAAGCACCGGCUAACUUCGUG
rnacentral:rRNA from 1 species